UGCGAGGUGCCUUAUACAACUCGAGGGCACCAUUACACACACUUUCGUUUUUCUAGUCUAAGAGCAAAACCCCGAGCCUUUCUUCACUUCGAGCAAAAUCCUGAGCCUUCCAUCUCUCACUCCCACUUUGGCCUUAGAGAGUUUUCAGCUAAAAAACUUCCACACUUCCCCGCUCUCUCAUUUCACUUCCCUCACGGUGAUGGAGGAGAGAGAUUCCUCCAGAUCCACUUUUUCUCUCCUCCCACUCUCUCUCGUCUGUGCUUCUCUCUUCAACUGGUCCCUCAACCUUUAAUUCUGAUCAAAAACAAAUCUUUACAACUGAGCUGUGACGAGAGAGGAAGAGGAGAGAGAUGGCGGAGGAGAAGCCUGAAGUGCUUGACGCGGUGCCGAAGGAAACAAUUGAUUUGGAAAACAUACCCAUUGCUUGAGAAUCUGAGAUGUAGCAAAGAGGGUCUCAGCAGUGAGGCUGCUGAGAAAGAUUAGCCAUUUUUGGGCAUAACAAGCUUGAGGAAAAGCAGGGGAAGCCUCCUGACUGGCAAGAUUUUGUGGUUAUUAUUACUCUGCUGGUCAUCAACUCCACCAUUAGUUUCAUCAAGGAAAAUAAUGCCGGUAAUGCUGCAGCAGCUCUCAUGGCUCGUCUUGCUCCUAAAGCCAAGGUAUCAGAUAUACCAAUUUGUUGCGUUUUGUUUUUAGGGUGGUAGUUACUGCUUCUGUUAUGGUGAUACAAUAGGCCAUAAGCUCCAUAUUGGUCUAUUGAUCAAUUUUUGAUGUAUGAGUAGAAAGAUUUUAUGGUGAUAUAUGCUUGAAGCAGAAUCUGAUCCCCAUGUCCUUCUCCCCCACCCCUAAAGCGUAUCGAUGUCCUUCUCCCCCAAAUUGAUUCAGCCUUAUCAGAGGUCUGGAAGCGGUCGUAGGCAACAACAAUUUGAUAUCUCCCCCAAUUUCGAUCCGGUGUCUCCGCCCAUUACUCCCUAUCUCUAUCAUUCAAUUCUGGAGUGAGUUCAUUGCUGAAUGUUAUAUGAGGAGGUCCUAUAUGUCGGGUUUCAUUGGUGUCUAUUUGCAGUUCCACACUAAUUGUUACAGGGGUUUGAAUCUCUAAGCAGAUCUAUCUCUCCAACUCUCAAUUCCUCUCUAGGUAUAUUCAAUUCUCAAAACCCUCAUCUUCCAUAUAUACGUUCCAUAUAUAUGUUGGCGUCACUGAGCACAUUCCAGCAAUGACCAUUCUUUUAUAUUUGAUUUAUCUUGAACUUUUCUUUGAUAUUAUUUAUAUUAACCAUAGAAAUUGUUGGUUGAUGAAUUUGAAUUUUCUAUAAAAGGAUUUAAGAGGAUAAACUCCGAAACUAGAAAAUGUGUGGAUUCCCUCGUAUUCUCGAGGAAUAAACUAGAGGCUAAGGGUUUACUAAGUUGGUUGUGACUUGUAAAAGAUCAUAUCAGGAUCAGGUUGUAAGUUGAACAAAUCUGUAGAUACGUUGCAUAUAAAAUGACCAGCUCUUCCAUUUUCAUGAAUUCUUGGAGUGUUUUGUUCAGGUGGUAUGAUUCUAGUAUAAAUUUGACUGUUGGUUUGCUUAAUGUAGAUGUGGAUAUCUAAGCCAGAGUAUGUAGAAUUUGGUCCAUCCAUUUGUCCACGGUAACUUACUACACAUGUGAUUGGAUUGUUUUUUCCCCCUCUUGGCUUCUGUGGUUCGUUUGUCAUGUGAGAUUUGGUGUGCUUCUGGUCUGCUUGUAAUCUUGUUUUUUCUUUCUUGCUAUCACAUUUACUUUCAUACUGCUCUUGUUUUAAUAUGUCAUCAGUAAUUUAUUGUUGUUUCUGAUAUGUGUGCUUUACUGCCUUUCUUGAUUGUUGAAAAGAUAAAAAUGAUAGUAUCAAUAAUGAGGUUGUUUGUUUCCGAUGCUAUUAGGGAGUUUGAUAUGGCUGGAAAAUUGAGACAGACGUUACCAAUCAAACCUAUAAAGUAUAAACAUAGACGUAGCCACAUACUUGACUUCAGUUAUGUUUUUCCACUCAGUUAUGUUCCUUUAGACAUGAUUUUUUCUUGAUUGCCUUUGCUGGUACUGAUUUCAAGGCAAACAGUGGGAAAGGUAUUUCAAGAGCUAACCUUGUGACAAAGCUUAAUUUUAUUGAAGGUGUGUGAUUAUCCUUUUUAGUUUGUAAUCCUAUAAUGCUGAAUAUGAUUUUAAAUGAACAGUUGUUGCAAGUUUGUAACAUUACUCUCGCCUCUUAUAAAAUGCUUUAAUUGGACUCAAACUACAUGCAUGAUUGUGCGGGAUACAUGAAUUUGCUGGCAAGACUAUCGCCAGAGAUACUUGGUCUCGGAUUAUUAAUUUUAUUUUCUUGAACCUUAGGUUCCACAUGAGCUCUUCUUAAGAGUAUAUUCUAGUUUUUAAGUUAUUAUUGGUGGACUUUUUAUUUGGCUAUCUUCUUAAACUGUAUACUGCAAUCUCAUUGCAGGUCUGGUAGUUUCUGUCUAUGCAGAGGUAAGAUACUGGGUGUUUCAGAAAUAUUUCAUUUUUUUUUCCUGAGCAUGCUUCUACCAUUAAUUAAUUUCUUUUGUUUUUUUCUAUUUUGUCUCCUUCAUUUGUUUUCAAAGUUCCAUGUCUUUUCUUUGUUUAUUUGAUUGCAAUGUUAAUGUACUAUAGGGUUUUCUAAGACAGAAGCUAUCUGGCUAAGGGCUUGCAUUUAUAAUUGCAGGUGGAUCUGGUAAGCAUUUCUUGACGCAUUCUGCCACAGAUUCUACAAAGAUGUUCAGUCUCUUAGUUGUUAGAUGUCAAUUAAAAUGUGUGGUUUUAUCUAUUUGCUAAAUCAAACCAGCUCUCUUGUUUUCUUCUUUUCUUCUCCCCCUUUUUGCUCUAAAUUUAACCUCAGAUCCUAAACUAAAAGUAUUUGUAGUUUCUUUUGUUGCAUGACAAAAUAAACUUCUUACAUUGUCUCUUGAACAAAACUAGCAAAAUCUUAACCUCUCUUUUCAAGAAUACUCUUUCAUAAAACUUUUCAGUGAUGGUAAAAAUGGAGAUGCAUAGGACAUUCAGAAGAGUGGGAGAUACAAAAGGCUCUUUGCAGCAUCAUUCUUUGCAAUUCGUAAAAUGUUAUAUUAGAAAUGCUAAAAAAAAAGGACAAACUUCUGCUACUUUUGUUGAAAACUCUUGGAAUAAUGUUUCUUUCUUGACCAAUCUAGCUAGUGAUCCCUUAGUUGGACUUGGACUAAUCUUAGAAUUUUUUUGGCUUUCUCCAUUGAUGCUAGUUGUACAAAAAAAUCUUGAGAUGGGCAAGGUACUAUCUAUUGAUGUUUCUUGUAUAGCAGUUGUGACUAGCUACAACAGUCAACGUCCAAAUCAAAUACAAUGGGCCAUGAGAAGAGCAGUGUUUGAUAUAACUAAGAUCCUCAAGCUAGUAAGAAGGCUUUACAGACUCAUUCUAGAUUCUGCAAAAGAGAGGGAAAAUAUUGAUGGCGCACCGUUUUCUGCUUCUUCUGGCAUAUAAUAUUUACAUGCAGCAGCUGCUCAUAUUUUUGUCAAUAAUCAUAUUAAUUUUUGAUGGUUUAUUGAUAUUGAUAAUGGCAUGGCACUAGAAUGCUAUCUUGUUUUGGAAUAAUUUGUAUCAGUUUUGGAUAUCCCAAGUAGAUGGGCAUGUAUUGGAAUACUUUUUUUUUUU